AUGCUUACGGGGUAGGGGAGAUACCAUGAUCAUGAAGGUGGUUUUCCCAGGGUGACGCUUAUUGUACUCUGGAUAUACUCACUCCUGAGAUUUCCCCAAAUGUGGGAAACCUGACUCCAUAAUUUGUGGUAGUGGGGGACAGAAAAAAUAAAAUUAAAAAUAGAUAAAAAUACAACGCUACUCUAC
rnacentral:snRNA from 1 species